rnacentral:rRNA from 1 species
UUCCGGUUGAUCCUGCCGGACCCGACUGCUAUCGGAUUGGGACUAAGCCAUGCGAGUCAACCCGCAAGGGUGGCGCACGGCUCAGUAACACGUAGUCAACCUACCCUGAGGACGAGGAUAACCCCGGGAAACUGGGGAUAAACCUCGAUAGGUCAUAGUUCCUGGAAUGGACUAUGGCUCAAAUCUAUAUGGCCUCAGGAUGGGACUGCGUCCGAUCAGGUUGUUGGUGGGGUAAUGGCCCACCAAGCCUAUAACCGGUACGGGCUCUGAGAGGAGGAGCCCGGAGAUGGGCACUGAGACAAGGGCCCAGGUCCUAUGGGGCGCAGCAGGCGCGAAACCUCCGCAAUGGGCGAAAGCCCGACGGGGUCAGUCCGAGUGGCUCCCGCUAAGGGAGUCUUUUGCUAGCUGUAAACAGGCUAGUGAAUAAGGGGUGGGCAAGCCUGGUGUCAGCCGCCGCGGUAAUACCAGCACCCCGAGUGGUCGGGAUGAUUAUUGGGCCUAAAGCAUCCGUAGCCGGUGUAACAAGUCCUCCGUUAAAUCCACCUGCUUAACAGGUGGGCUGCGGAGGAUACUGUUACACUAGGAGGCGGGAGAGGCGAGGGGUAUUCCACGGGUAGGGGUAAAAUCCUCUGAUCCGUGGAGGACCACCAGUGGCGAAGGCGCCUCGCCAGAACGCGCUCGACGGUGAGGGAUGAAAGCUGGGGGAGCAAACCGGAUUAGAUACCCGGGUAGUCCCAGCCGUAAACGAUGUAGGCUCGGUGAUGGACUGGCUCCGAGCCAGUCCAGUGCCGCAGGGAAGCCGUUAAGCCUACCGCCUGGGGAGUACGGCCGCAAGGCUGAAACUUAAAGGAAUUGGCGGGGGAGCACCACAAGGGGUGAAGCCUGCGGUUCAAUU